AACGUAGGAGACAAACGUUAUCCGGAGUUACUGGGCGUAAAGGGCGUGUAGGCGGUUUGUUAAGUCUGGCGUGAAAGCUCUCGGCUAAACCGGGAGAGGUCGUUGGAUACUGGCAAACUAGAGGACGGUAGAGGCGUGUGGAAUUCCGGGUGUAGUGGUGAAAUGCGUAGAUAUCGGGAAGAACACCAGUGGCGAAAGCGGCUCUCUGGGCCAUUACUGACGCUCAACUGCGAAAGCCAGGGGAGAGAACGGG
rnacentral:rRNA from 1 species